rnacentral:misc_RNA from 1 species
AGUCUUGCUGGAGUGCGAGAACCCCUGGUAUGAUGGCCUGUUCCAACACAUAUAUAAACCUGCAGACGCUGAUCUGCUGCCCGUGCUGUGCUCCUUAGAACACUUAGCUCGUGCUUUAGAACAUGAAUGGCUUCACUUACAUGCAGACCGUGAAGGUCUAUCAUCCGCUCGUGUCCCCUCCCCUGUGCCUGCAUCUCUGGACCAACUGGGUUCCUCAGGCGAUAAAUAG